GCAUUAGCAUUAGUAGCAAGCGUUAACAUUAACGUUAGCAUAAACAUAGAGCGUUAGCAUUAGCCUUAUCGUUUGAGGAUGUUUUUGGCGAUGCUCCCUUUUUGGCAUGUUGUUGUUUGUUUGUGUUAAAGUGUUUGUGUUUCUGUGGCUAAGGCGUUCCUGCCACGUUGUUGCCAACUGUUUAUUAGUCUGUUUGUCUACAACUGUUUGCAUCUCUGUACCAUCAGUAGCACGCCAUUAGCAUACCGUAGCAUUUUACUGCUUCCUUGUAGUUUGUAGCUCCAGCUUGGUCAUUUUAAGUCAGUUUAUGGUGGAUUAUCGUCGUCACGUUUCUUCUAGUUGCGGGUCUAGCGGUUUUCAGUGUGGCAUUGUGAUCAUUUUGCAGUUUUGUUUUUUGCCUCUUUGGCGUUUGUGUGUCUUUAUAGCUUUGUGGUAGUAAUCUAUCCACGGCCAUUCAUUGAUCUCACCAUUUGUUUGUGGUGACUGUGACUGAAAUUAUUAUAAAAUGAUUUUAAAAAUGGCUUUCCUCUCUGAGAUCAAUGAAGUCAUAGUAACAUGAUGAAUUUAUUCACCUCAAAAGUCAAAGUGUGAUUGUUGGUUGCAGUGUUUAGUUUUCAGUGUUGUAUUCUUCUACAUUGUUCAGGUGUUGGAGAUGAACUAUUCUUUAUUAAUGAGGUUAUUUGUUGGACUUGUGUUUUCCAGGUUUACUGGUUCAGCUGCUGCAGCCUGGACACAAACACCAGCUCCCACCUUAAAAACCAAACAGAGGCCUGGACUACGAAGGGAGUUUAACCCACUGUGAUUUAACUCGGGUUAUCAAGGAACGUCAGGGUUGACAGACGUCGGCUGCCUCGAUCUGCGUUAACUACGGCGACGGUGAAGAUGUCAGUGUCUCCACUUCGUCCACGAUCAGAGAAUCUUUGAACAAUGAAGGAAUUGUUUAGACCAGGACAGAGGCCUCCAGAAUUCAAACUGCAACCAUUAAAUCACAGAGAGAAGAGACAGACAUGAAGAUGUUUCCAGAAGGUCUCUGAAACGCCACCAGUGCUGUCGCAUAUCCCAUAACGCCAGGGAGUCAAGAGCGCUUGGACAGGCGUUCACACUUUGUCUGCUUCAGAAUCACUUCUGUCUCCGACUGACCCUCCUCCCACUGAAAUCAACCCGACUCAACUCUACUGUGACAUUGAGUAUUUUUAACUGUUUUCCAUGCUUUACUAGUUUAUGACAGUAUUUAAGUGUUUAUGAUUGUUUGUUAUGCUUUACUGUAUUAUGACAUUUUUGAAUGUUGUUCAUGCCUUGAGUGUUUUUGACAGUUUUCCAUGUUUUACUGUUUGCCUUGUUGUACUGACAUUUUUGACUGUUGUUCACUGUUUUGUAUGUGUUUUUAUUGUGUGACAAUAAAUUGUGUGUGUAUUGUGUUUCCUGUUAGGAAGAGAUAGCAGAGGAAUGAGAGUAAAGGGAUGGGACACGCUUUGGCCCAGCCCUUUACUCAGAUAGGACAGUGUAGAUGAGCAUGGGAAUAACAUGCAAUAAACACUUAGCUGAACUGGGGCACAUGAGCCUAUAUGGGUGCCCCAUUUUUUUUUAAAAAAUUUUUCUGUUUUUUUUCCAUUGACAUUUUUUUUAUUUUUCCAUUCAAAUUUUUGAGAUUUUCAUUUUUUCAAUGUAACACUUAAGAAUAAAAUUUUUCCUCCAAAA